CCAACGGCCCUCUUUAGGGCCACAGUCAUUUAAGUCAGACGUUCCU
rfam:Enterobius vermicularis genome assembly, scaffold: EVEC_scaffold0001072